rnacentral:rRNA from 1 species
AUUGAACGCUGGCGGAAUGCUUUACACAUGCAAGUCGAACGGUAGAGGGGCAACCCUUGAGAGUGGCGAACGGGUGAGUAAUGUAUCGGAACAUGCCCAAUCGUGGGGGAUAACGUAGCGAAAGUUACGCUAAUACCGCAUACGAUCUACGGAUGAAAGCGGGGGAUCGCAAGACCUCGCGUGAUUGGAGUGGCCGAUAUCAGAUUAGGUAGUUGGGGGGGUAAAGGCACACCAAGCCGACGAUCUGUAGCUGGUCUGAGAGGACGACCAGCCACACUGGGACUGAGACACGGCCCAGACUCCUACGGGAGGCAGCAGUGGGGAAUUUUGGACAAUGGGCGCAAGCCUGAUCCAGCCAUUCCGCGUGCAGGAAGAAGGCCUUCGGGUUGUAAACUGCUUUUGUACGGAACGAAACGCGCUGUGCUAAUACCACGGCGUAAUGACGGUACCGUAAGAAUAAGCACCGGCUAACUACGUGCCAGCAGCCGCCGUAA